rnacentral:rRNA from 1 species
AACCUGGUUGAUCCUGCCAGUAGUCAUAUGCUUGUCUCAAAGAUUAAGCCAUGCAUGUCUAAGUAUAAAGAACUUUAUACUAUGAAACUGCGUACAGCUCAUUAUAUCAGUGAUUAUUUAUUUGAUGGUACCUUAUUACAUGGAUAACCGUAGUAACCUAGAGCUAAUACAUGCAUAAAAUCCUGACUCUCGAGAAAGGAUGUAUUUAUUAGAUAAAGAAUCAAUACCGGCUCUGUCGGUUUCAUUGAUGAAUCAUAAUAACUGAUCGAAUCGCAUGCUUCGGCGGCGAUAGUUCAUUCAAAUUUCUGCCCUAUCAGCUUUCGACGGUAGUGUAGUGGACUACCGUGGCAUUAACGGGUA